GCGCCCGUAGCUCAGGUGGAUAGAGCAGUGGUUUCCUAAACCACGUGCCGCGUGUUCGAGUCACGCCGGGCGCACCA
rnacentral:tRNA from 1 species